rnacentral:tRNA from 2 species
UCGGAUAUAUCUCAGGUGGUAGAGUACUCGUCUGAUACACGAGUUGUCGAUAGUUCAAAUCUAUCUAUCCGAA